CACAAGCGGCGGAGCAUGUGGAUUAAUUCGAUGCAACGCGAAGAACCUUACCUGGGUUUGACAUACACCGGAAAACCGUAGAGAUACGGUCCCCCUUGUGGUCGGUGUACAGGUGGUGCAUGGCUGUCGUCAGCUCGUGUCGUGAGAUGUUGGGUUAAGUCCCGCAACGAGCGCAACCCUUGUCUUAUGUUGCCAGCACGUGAUGGUGGGGACUCGUAAGAGACUGCCGGGGUCAACUCGGAGGAAGGUGGGGACGACGUCAAGUCAUCAUGCCCCUUAUGUCCAGGGCUUCACACAUGCUACAAUGGCCAGUACAGAGGGCUGCGAGACCGUGAGGUGGAGCGAAUCCCUUAAAGCUGGUCUCAGUUCGGAUCGGGGUCUGCAACUCGACCCCGUGAAGUCGGAGUCGCUAGUAAUCGCAGAUCAGCAACGCUGCGGUGAAUACGUUCCCGGGCCUU
rnacentral:rRNA from 1 species